rnacentral:rRNA from 1 species
AGGCAUUAGCAUUUUGGUUUCCCAUUGUCUGAUCUUGGAAGCUAAGCAGAGUCAAGCCUAGUUAGUCGUUGGAAUGGAGAUGUCUGGGAAUAAUAGGUACUAGAGGCUA